GACUGCCGGUGAUAAACCGGAGGAAGGUGGGGACGACGUCAAGUCAUCAUGGCCCUUACGAGUAGGGCUACACACGUGCUACAAUGGCGCAUACAGAGGGCAGCCAACUUGCGAAAGUGAGCGAAUCCCAAAAAGUGCGUCGUAGUCCGGAUUGGAGUCUGCAACUCGACUCCAUGAAGUCGGAAUCGCUAGUAAUCGUGGAUCAGAAUGCCACGGUGAAUACGUUCCCGGGCCUUGUACACACCGCCCGUCACACCAUGGGAGUGGGCUGCAAAAGAAGUAGGUAGUUUAACCUUCGGGGGGACGCUUACCACUUUGUGGUUCAUGACUGGGGUGAAGUCGUAACAAGGUAGCGCUAGGGGAACCUGGCGCUGGAUCACCUCCUUA
rnacentral:rRNA from 1 species